CCAAAGGCCGGGUGCUCGGAUUGGAUACGUGUGACUGAUGAGGGAGGGCUGCAGACCAGGACGGAUUGCGCAGGGCUGAAGACAAAGGCUGGUUUAGAAGGAGGGUUGGCUCCUGCCCCCACAACUUGGUCACAGAGUGGAUUUAGGUUUGGAAAGUAGCGAGAAAAAAACGAGCCUGAAGAAUGUGAGAAAAAGGGUUGGAGAUGUAGAGGUGUUUGUCAUCUGCGAUGGGAUGAGGGACUAGGAACUUUACCUUUUUGAACAAUAAAAUGAGUUUCAUCAAAGAACUGAGAAUAAAGGAGGCAGAUAUACGACUCUUGAAAAAAUUAAGAACGAAAAUGGACUAGGAAAAAAGGAAAGGACGUCAUAGGUCACUUCUUUGGGGUGGGCAAUGCUAGCGAAAGGAUUUCAGUUUUUCUGAUUAUCAAGUGAGGGUAUGAUUGCUCACAAAAAGAAAAAGGCUAAGAAAAACAUGUUUGGACAUCAGGCCAACUCUCUACUCAAGUAACGACUUCUGAAGUGGGGCUCCAGUCCGUAAGUUCCAGCUCCACUUUGAUCAGGACCACAUCAAGGAGGUGGUGAAUGAUAUCAGCAAGUUCACCCGUGUGCUGCGGUAUUUCAAAGAAGCUAUACUUUCAGAAUGAAAUCCAUUCCAUUGGGAACAGCUUUAAAACUCUCUGUUUUUAUGGAAUGUCUCUCUUCCUGAACAUAAUCUCUGAAGUACUUCUUCAACACUGGACAUGAGUGGCAGGUCUGGUUUCUUCUGCCUCUCCCAGCAUAGAGCUUCCAGCUUACAAAUAU